UGAGCAAUCUGCCCUUCUCUUUGGAAUAAGCGUUGGAAACGACGUCUAAUGCCGAAUACGACCUCCUUUCGCAUGAUCGGAGGUGGAAAGCUCCGGCGGAGAAGGAUGAGCUCGCGGCCUAUCAGCUAGUUGGUGUGGGUAAUGGCCCACCAAGGCGACGACGGGUAGCCGGCCUGAGAGGGCGACCGGCCACACUGGGACUGAGACACGGCCCAGACUCCGUACGGGAGGNAG
rnacentral:rRNA from 1 species